rnacentral:rRNA from 1 species
UCGCGAAACCUUUGCAAUACACGAAAGUGUGACAGGGCUAUCCCGAGUGCCAUCCGCUGAGGAAGGCUUUUACCCAGUCUAGAAAGCUGGGGGAAUAAGGAGAGGGCAAGUCUGGUGUCAGCCGCCGCGGUAAUACCAGCUCUCCGAGUGGUGUGGAUGUUUAUUGGGCCUAAAGCAUCCGUAGCUGGCUAGGUUAGUCCCCUGUUAAAUCCACCGAAUUAAUCGUUGGAUUGCGGGGGAUACUGCUUGGCUAGGGGACGAGAGAGGCAGACGGUAUUUCCGGGGUAGGGGUGAAAUCCUAUAAUCCCGGGAGGACCACCAGUGGCGAAGGCUGUCUGCAAGAACGCGCCCGACGGUGAGGGAUGAAAGCUGGGGGAGCGAACCGGAUUAGAUACCCGGGUAGUCCCAGCUGUAAACGAUGCAGACUAGGUGUUUGGACGGCCACGUGCCGUUCUAGUGCCGCAGGGAAGCUGUUAAGUCUGCCGCCUGGGGAGUACGAUCGCAAGAUUGAAACUUAAAGGAAUUGGCGGGGG